GAUCUGCCCUCCUUCAGUAUAGGGACGAAAGCAUGCGCCAGAACUCACAGGGUGAUUUAAAACGUUAAACAUAUAGUGAGCGGACAAAACGAUCAAAGAUCCGACUCUCACUGGCUAAGGUCCGAGCGGGAAGUGCAAUCCGGGGAGUCUCGCUUCUAGGGAGCGCGUCAAGACGCCAGGCUGAUUAAGCGCUACCUGGCCCGAGGUGGGGCACCGGAAGGCCAGGAGACUGAUACACCGGCCAGAUCAAGUUUGAAAUGCAAGCCGCCGCCACUUGGCCCCAAUUAGAGGCCAAACCUUUUAUGUAAACAAGGAAUAAUUAGCUUUGGUAAUAGAAGCGUAAACAGAAUCAUCAUCCAUUGAUUUGCUAAUUGCCCUCCCGUCCCAUGACAAUAGCCAGCAUUCUGCUGUAGGUCGGACAGACCCUGUGCACCAGAGGACAGCCAGUUAUACUCCCAGUUGCAAGACAUCUGGGAAGUUGCCGGAGGCCAGUAUGCCCGUAGGAGUUUAUGGGCAUAUCCAGGUUGCAGGGCAUGGAAUCCAACAAAAACAUUAACGGGACUUGGUGGCGAUACAAUGCUACCAGCACCAGCACAGGAAGAACAGAAAUGAUGUUUUGUGGGAGAAGCCAAGAAAAUGACCUGUGGAUCUCAGUGGGAUUUAAAGCCAGUUGUGAUCAGCCCCGUGAUGUGAACAGAAUGAGCUGAAGCUCAUAGAACCCAUCUCCUCACCUGCUGUGUCCAGCACUGACCAAGGCUUUGGUCUAGCACUGGUCUAAGACAAGUUAUCCGUGCAAAGUAACAAGCUCCAGGAAUCCGGAGGUCCCACCUACACACAGGACAAGACUUCUUGGUUCCGCUGAGGAAGUUCCUACGUUUAGGAUCUCAGAUGAUGGCCAGGCUCCCAGAGGAGUGGCCCGGGGUGUUUUGAUGAGCUCUCCAACGGCCCAGUGCUAGAUGCUCCACAUGCUGGCUCCUGAGCAGUUCUAGACAGAGGCCUGCCCUCCCCCUGAGUCCAGAGGAACUCCGUCUUGGCCUAGAGCAACAUGGAAACUUCUGGAAGGAGAAGGGCUUGAGAAAUGACCAGUGGUCUUGGAACUCAAAGCUCACUGUUUUCCACUCAGGUCAAGAGGCAAUGGUCUCAGGAGCACUCGGCAAAUUCAGACACUUGUGCCCAGUUUAUCAUGGAAGGAGCUAGGCCUGCUGGGCCCUCAUGUAUCCAAUUCCUAGAACUCUCAAAGAACUGCUCCCAUCAUGGGAACCCAUGGACCUGGACCGGAACCGCUCACCCUGGUGCCUUGGCAGUUAACUUGUGACAAAGCAAAGGAGAGAAUUAAAUGAAGAU